rnacentral:rRNA from 1 species
AUGAACGCUAGCUACAGGCUUAACACAUGCAAGUCGAGGGGCAGCAUGGUCUUAGCUUGCUAAGGCCGAUGGCGACCGGCGCACGGGUGAGUAACACGUAUCCAACCUGCCGUCUACUCUUGGACAGCCUUCUGAAAGGAAGAUUAAUACAAGAUGGCAUCAUGAGUCCGCAUGUUCACAUGAUUAAAGGUAUUCCGGUAGACGAUGGGGAUGCGUUCCAUUAGAUAGUAGGCGGGGUAACGGCCCACCUAGUCUUCGAUGGAUAGGGGUUCUGAGAGGAAGGUCCCCCACAUUGGAACUGAGACACGGUCCAAACUCCUACGGGAGGCAGCAGUGAGGAAUAUUGGUCAAUGGGCGAGAGCCUGAACCAGCCAAGUAGCGUGAAGGAUGACUGCCCUAUGGGUUGUAAACUUCUUUUAUAAAGGAAUAAAGUCGGGUAUGGAUACCCGUUUGCAUGUACUUUAUGAAUAAGGAUCGGCUAACUCCGUGCCAGCAGCCGCGGUAAUACGGAGGAUCCGAGCGUUAUCCGGAUUUAUUGGGUUUAAAGGGAGCGUAGAUGGAUGUUUAAGUCAGUUGUGAAAGUUUGCGGCUCAACCGUAAAAUUGCAGUUGAUACUGGAUAUCUUGAGUGCAGUUGAGGCAGGCGGAAUUCGUGGUGUAGCGGUGAAAUGCUUAGAUAUCACGAAGAACUCCGAUUGCGAAGGCAGCCUGCUAAGCUGCAACUGACAUUGAGGCUCGAAAGUGUGGGUAUCAAACAGGAUUAGAUACCCUGGUAGUCCACACGGUAAACGAUGAAUACUCGCUGUUUGCGAUAUACUGCAAGCGGCCAAGCGAAAGCGUUAAGUAUUCCACCUGGGGAGUACGCCGGCAACGGUGAAACUCAAAGGAAUUGACGGGGGCCCGCACAAGCGGUGGAGCAUGUGGUUUAAUUCGAUGCAACGCGAAGAACCUUACCUGGUCUUGACAUCCACAGAACUUUCCAGAGAUGGAUUGGUGCCUUCGGGAACUGUGAGACAGGUGCUGCAUGGCUGUCGUCAGCUCGUGUCGUGAGAUGUUGGGUUAAGUCCCGCAACGAGCGCAACCCUUGUUGUCAGUUACUAACAGGUUCCGCUGAGGACUCUGACAAGACUGCCAUCGUAAGAUGUGAGGAAGGUGGGGAUGACGUCAAAUCAGCACGGCCCUUACGUCCGGGGCUACACACGUGUUACAAUGGGGGGUACAGAGGGCCGCUACCACGCGAGUGGAUGCCAAUCCCCAAAACCUCUCUCAGUUCGGACUGGAGUCUGCAACCCGACUCCACGAAGCUGGAUUCGCUAGUAAUCGCGCAUCAGCCACGGCGCGGUGAAUACGUUCCCGGGCCUUGUACACACCGCCCGUCAAGCCAUGGGAGCCGGGGGUACCUGAAGUGCGUAACCGCGAGGAGCGCCCUAGGGUAAAACUGGUGACUGGGGCU